AUGGGUGGAAUUUAUCAUGAGACCCUACCCAAAUCCGAGUACUUCUUCAAGGCACUGUACACCUUGCAUUUCACCCAAAACGAUCUCUCCGUGGGCUACUUCACCAAUAAGACUACCAAACAGAUUGAGGCCUAUGACCCCGAUCCUAAGGAGCGGUUCACUGUGGCAAUGCAGAAACUCCGCGGAAAGCUGCUGCAGAUAGGUGUUGUGCUGGUAUGUUCUUUCUGUAGCCUUUGUUCAGGUAAAUCAGACCAAGACUUGGAGACUAUAGAUAGCCACUCUUUUUUACCAAACCUUGUUUUUGUUAAUAAUGAGUCCGACAAUGAAGUGACUACAUCUCCAUCUUUUCACCUUUGUUUCUACUGA
rnacentral:rRNA from 1 species